AUAGGUUAACGAGGCGAACCGGGGGAACUGAAACAUCUAAGUACCCCGAGGAAAAGAAAUCAACCGAGAUUCCCCCAGUAGCGGCGAGCGAACGGGGAGCAGCCCAGAGUCUGAAUCAGCUUGUGUGUUAGUGGAACGGUCUGGAAAGUCCGACGGUACAGGGUGAUAGUCCCGUACACCAAAAUGCACAGGCUGUGAACUCGAAGAGUAGGGCGGGACACGUGGUAUCCUGUCUGAAUAUGGGGGGACCAUCCUCCAAGGCUAAAUACUCCUGACUGACCGAUAGUGAACCAGUACCGUGAGGGAAAGGCGAAAAGAACCCCGGCGAGGGGAGUGAAAAAGAACCUGAAACCGUGUACGUACAAGCAGUGGGAGCACCUUCGGGUGUGACUGCGUACCUUUUGUAUAAUGGGUCAGCGACUUAUAUUCUGUAGCAAGGUUAACCGUAUAGGGGAGCCGCAGGGAAACCGAGUCUUAACUGGGCGUUAAGUUGCAGGGUAUAGACCCGAAACCCGGUGAUCUAGCCAUGGGCAGGUUGAAGGUUGGGUAACACUAACUGGAGGACCGAACCGACUAAUGUUGAAAAAUUAGCGGAUGACUUGUGGCUGGGGGUGAAAGGCCAAUCAAACCGGGAGAUAGCUGGUUCUCCCCGAAAGCUAUUUAGGUAGCGCCUCGUGAACUCAUCUUCGGGGGUAGAGCACUGUUUCGGCUAGGGGGUCAUCCCGACUUACCAACCCGAUGCAAACUACGAAUACCGAAGAAUGUUAUCACGGGAGACACACGGCGGGUGCUAACGUCCGUCGUGAAGAGGGAAACAACCCAGACCGCCAGCUAAGGUCCCAAAGUCAUGGUUAAGUGGGAAACGAUGUGGGAAGGCACAGACAGCCAGGAUGUUGGCUUAGAAGCAGCCAUCAUUUAAAGAAAGCGUAAUAGCUCACUGGUCGAGUCGGCCUGCGCGGAAGAUGUAACGGGGCUAAACCAUGCACCGAAGCUGCGGCAGCGACACUAUGUGUUGUUGGGUAGGGGAGCGUUCUGUAAGCCUGCGAAGGUG
rnacentral:rRNA from 1 species